ACCGCAGAAAAACAUCUGUCCGGUUUAAUGAGAAGAACAGAGCUUGAGCUGCUGUAUCUACUAGAAAGCACCGUCUCAGUAUUAGUCAUGUGUUUCCUAAGUUAACUGUAAUAACCCUGACACCCACAUUAAAGGACCUGAGCCACAUCUAGAGACCAGAAGAUCACAGAGAUGUGAGGUUUAAGGACAAAGACAGCGUUCAACAUAACGUGGCAUAUGUUCAGCAGGUCUUUGUGAGGGUUUCAGGCCUCCGUUGACGGAUUGAGAGGAAGAUGGAGUGGAAGGAAAUGCUGUGCUUACGGAUCACAAUGUGUUCAGAAAUCAAGCAAGGCUCGUGUAAAAUCUCUCAGGAACCAAUCAGUAAGUCGACUUCUUUGCUUCUCAAGAUAAUUGCAACACAUGCUAAAUGUGUAGCUUCAUCACAUCAAAACACUGGGAAUGAUUAGGAAUGAUUUUGGGUCUUUCCAGCAGCAACCGCCCAUUGCUGUCUUGCACUGGUCAGCUAAACGCUACAUCAUGGUCUGUGUAACUGAUGUGUUUAGCAGUGAUAAAGGUUGUUAUCUUCUUCAUCCACCUCACAGAUGACCCAGCGAGGGGCCAGACACCAGAUGAUUGUUUGUGGCAUUGAUGUAACGUCUAGAAGAGCUUCAGUCUGUAAUUAUGUGAAGUGCUCAUGAAGGAGACAGACACGGUGAAGAUGAAUAUUCCCCGAGCAUGUUGGGCAAAGACUGAUGAAGAGCUGUCUCUGUAAACCAUAAAAGCAUUCAGAAACAUCCAAACCAAAGAUCACGCAGAUCUCUUGAGCUGGAGUUUCUCCACCCUGAGCAUUAAACAACAGCAACGUUUAUGUGGUUAACUCCUGUGUGUCGUGUUGCAGUGUUGUAGCACUCAGAUAUAUACUUGCAUGACCAAUACUUAUUUAUGCUGUAAUUUUACUGAGCUUAUGUCUUUAUUUACUUUCAUUGCAGGUCUGGAUCUCAUAUGGUGGUUAGUAACAGAGAUACACACUAAUAUCUCAUUGAAGACACUGGGUAUGUUCAGAAUGCCAUACUAACUACUGUUUUUGCAAGUAAGUAGUAAUCCAGUAAUCAUAUUUUGUGUAAAAUUGUGGCAAUAUAGUAAGUCAUAAGUCAGGAAAGAGAUAUUAAAAUUGUGAUGUAUUUCUAGUUUAUUCAUCAUACUGAAAAUGGAAGGAUCAUGCAUGGAGAAAAGGUUGCAUACUGAUAAAAUAGUGAAUGCAGUUAAUUCAUUUACUUUCAUUUGAAGUCCUAAAAUAACUAAAACUAAUUAAAAACUAUACAGACAUAUAUAAAAAAAACUAAUAAAAAUGACAAAAACAAACA
ensembl:lncRNA